UACGUAGGGGGCAAGCGUUGUCCGGAAUCAUUGGGCGUAAAGAGCGUGUAGGCGGCCCGGUAAGUCCGCUGUGAAAGUCCAGGGCUCAACCCUGGGAUGCCGGUGGAUACUGUCGGGCUCGAGUCCGGAAGAGGAGUGUGGAAUUCCUGGUGUAGCGGUGAAAUGCGCAGAUAUCAGGAGGAACACCAAUGGCGAAGGCAGCACUCUGGGACGUGACUGACGCUGAGGAGCGAAAGCAUGGGGGAGCGAAACAGG
rnacentral:rRNA from 1 species